rfam:Ixodes scapularis strain Wikel colony gcontig_1107728558334, whole genome shotgun sequence.
GCAGUCGUGGCCGAGUGGUUAAAACGAUGGACUAGAAAUCCAUUAGGGUCUCCCCAGACAGGUUCGAAUCUUAUCGACUGCG